rnacentral:rRNA from 1 species
UACAGAGGUCUCAAGCGUUGUUCGGAUUCAUUGGGCGUAAAGGGCGCGUAGGUGGCCCGGUCAGUUCGUGGUGAAAGCGCGGGGCUCAACCCUGCGUCGGCCAUGAAUACUGCCGCGGCUGGAGCACUGUAGAGGCAGGCGGAAUUCCGGGUGUAGCGGUGGAAUGCGUAGAGAUCCGGAAGAACACCGGUGGCGAAGGCGGCCUGCUGGGCAGUGCUGACACUGAGGCGCGACAGCGUGGGGGAGCAAACAGG